rnacentral:rRNA from 1 species
CACGUAGGGUGCGAGCGUUGUCCGGAAUUAUUGGGCGUAAAGAGCUCGUAGGCGGUUUGUCGCGUCUGCCGUGAAAACCUGCAGCUUAACUGUGGGCUUGCGGUCGAUACGGGCAUCACUGGAGUUCGGCAGGGGAGACUGGAAUUCCUGGUGUAGCGGUGAAAUGCGCAGAUAUCAGGAGGAACACCGGUGGCGAAGGCGGGUCUCUGGGCAGAUACUGACGCUGAGGAGCGAAAGCGUGGGGAGCGAACAGG